rnacentral:ribozyme from 1 species
UACGAGACAGGCUGGGAUCGUGCUUGUGAUUGCUUUUGCUUAUCUUCUUGUUCGUGUUCUUUUUCUUCUUCUUCUUUUUCCUUUUAGUCACAGUAGCAACCACACAAGAGCAAAGGAAGGGGAAAACUUCGAGGGUAUAUAGUUUCAGUGGUAGUUAGAAAAGUACAAAAACGUAAUUUUACAAUUGUGUAUUU